CAGUCGAGCGGCAGCACAAGGGAGUUUACUUCUGAGGUGGCGAGCGGCGGACGGGUGAGUAAUGCCUAGGGAUCUGCCCAGUCGAGGGGGAUAACAGUUGGAAACGACUGCUAAUACCGCAUACGCCCUACGGGGGAAAGGAGGGGACCUUCGGGCCUUCCGCGAUUGGAUGAACCUAGGUGGGAUUAGCUAGUUGGUGAGGUAAUGGCUCACCAAGGCGACGAUCCCUAGCUGUUCUGAGAGGAUGAUCAGCCACACUGGGACUGAGACACGGCCCAGACUCCUACGGGAGGCAGCAGUGGGGAAUAUUGCACAAUGGGGGAAACCCUGAUGCAGCCAUGCCGCGUGUGUGAAGAAGGCCUUCGGGUUGUAAAGCACUUUCAGUAGGGAGGAAAGGGUGUAGUUUAAUAAACUAUAUCUGUGACGUUACCUACAGAAGAAGGACCGGCUAACUCCGUGCCAGCAGCCGCGGUAAUACGGAGGGUCCGAGCGUUAAUCGGAAUUACUGGGCGUAAAGCGUGCGCAGGCGGUUUGUUAAGCGAGAUGUGAAAGCCCUGGGCUCAACCUAGGAAUAGCAUUUCGAACUGGCGAACUAGAGUCUUGUAGAGGGGGGUAGAAUUCCAGGUGUAGCGGUGAAAUGCGUAGAGAUCUGGAGGAAUACCGGUGGCGAAGGC
rnacentral:rRNA from 1 species